AGGGGCCCGUUUAAAACAGCUGAAAUCAGAGGUCAUGCAGUCAUGUUGAAAAAACCCAUCUUUGCAGUAUUUUAAGCUGUACCAUUGAAAACCCACUGUGAUGACAUGUGAAACUUGCAUUAAUUUGUUACAAAGGGGCACGUUAUGGAAGCUUGUUUGUGCUAUGGGCAGACCAUGCAUAUCUCAGGUGGGUCUUUAUUAUUCUUGUCUGUAGGUUCUGCUGCUCACGAGGAGUAAUCAACCAAGCACUUAUUAGUUAAAAUAAAACUUGACAGCAAAAAUAGCUGGCAAAAACAGCAUGUGUAUUGUUUAAUGCCAUGUGAUAGAUGGUCAGAGUUGACUUAUUUUGCUUGAGUACAAACCUGGAAUGAGACGACAAAGGAUCUUAAUGAGCUCACCUGUUGUGACCCUAAUUAACACAUGUGCAAGUGGUAGCUGAAAUGCCAGUAUUAAAGGCUGCGAUUCAGUUGCUCUGCUUCAUAGCACAGUGCUUUCCAUCUGGUUCAGGUGUGCAUCUCCAUUAUGGAAUGUGAAGCUGGAGGGAGACGUAGAGCACGUCACAUUGUGGCCGUCAUUUUGCUCCUGUGCUCUUUAGUCCCAAAUUCCACUUCUCUUAGCUUGCAAGGGUUGAGCAAAGCAGUUAAAGAAGACAAGGGAGGUAAUGAAGCACCAGCCAUUGAUGUAAAGACAGGAAGCAUUGGCAUUAAUGGGAAAGAGCUUAACUUCCAGUCAGGAUCUGCUUCUGCUCCAGGAAAUGAACUGCUACGUGUUGACUUGGAUCCAUCAGACAGCACAGAGAUGUUGGAGCUGGAGAAGGACUUCUCUAAUAAAGCAGAAUGGAAGCGCUUGACCUCUUCACUACACUGUGGUCUUGACAAGAUGAAGCUAAUGUUCACAGGACUUGGUGCUGCUGACUUACAACUGGACAUGGGCAAUGCACCUCCCUUGCCUCUGAUGCAGGUGCUGGAAACUUGUGACUACUUGAUGCAGCAGAAUGAGCUGGGCCUUGAUUUAAUUGUUCCUUAUGAUGGCUGCAAUGUGAUACAAGAGAAUGGACGAUACGUGUUGCAAAUGAGAUUGCAAGAGACUCCAGUUAAAUUUGCCUGCCCCAUGUUGCCAAGUCCUGAUUCAACACCUGGUUCAACUGCCUCUGAGCCUUUGCAACAGCCCUGGGAAGUUUCUUUUUCUCCUGGGUCCAAUAGCCGUCGUCGUUCUAAACGACAUAUAGGAUGGCCUCCCAUCUGUGACCCUCAUUAUCUGUCAUAUUAUUCCUGUCCGUACUACAUAUAUGUGGCAGAGUUCUCAAAACCCAACACUCCUGCGCCUCCUCCCUAUUAUCCGUACAAUCCAUAUUACAUUAAUAGCCCCAACUACCCCUACAAACCUUUCCCAUCGACACCGUUGAAACCUGCCCGGCCUUGCAGUACCACAGCUUCCCCCACUACACCUGCUACUACACCUGCUACUACAACUAAAAAGUGCUCCCGUGGAAAACCCGCCAUUACUGAGUAUCCAGGCCAAAUUCGUCAAGACACUUCUUUUCACAAGCUUCCCUUUCCUGUACCAAUAUCACAUUUUCCGAGGGCUGGCCAAUUCCUGGAGAACCAAAAAUAUAUGCCUGAAUCUGGAUUCCAGGAUCCAGUACUUUCAGGCUUUCACUGGGAGUCUGUUCCCUGGUUUCCUCAGUCAGCAGAUCAAGGCAAUUAUCAAUUUGACUAAAAACAUCCACAACCUGAUGUCAAACCUCAAGUGGUAAGGAUCACCUGUUAACUGUGACUGGUUAAACUGAUAUGAAGUGCAAAAUUUGUAAACCAUACCUGUCUUUCUUUCAAGUGUCCUGUGGUGUUUAUAACGCAAAAUAAACAUUUUUAUUUAGAACUUGGC
ensembl:lncRNA